rnacentral:misc_RNA from 1 species
GAUGAAGAACGCAGCGAAAUGCGAUAAGUAAUGUGAAUUGCAGAAUUCAGUGAAUCAUCGAAUCUUUGAACGCACAUUGCGCCCGCCAGUAUUCUGGCGGGCAUGCCUGUCCGAGCGUCAUUUCAACCAUCAAGCCCCCGGGCUUGUGUUGGGGACCUGCGGCUGCCCGCAGGCCCUGAAAACCAGUGGCGGGCUCGCUGUCACACCGAGCGUAGUAGCAAUCACCUCGCUCAGGGCGUGCUGCGGGUUCCGGCCGUUAAACAGCCUUACAAAACCCAAGGUUGACCUCGGAUCAGGUAGGAAGACCCGCUGAACUUCAGCAUAUCAAUAAGCGGAGGA